rnacentral:lncRNA from 1 species
GGGUAUACAAUAUUGUAUCAAUUGGCUUUAGUCUAAGUGGAGUUAUUGGGAGUUAUAUCCCAAAGUCAAUCAUCAGUCUGUUGAUGGUUAUGCUCAUAAAUAUAAAUUAUAUAUGAAUUAUAAUUAAUAAAUAUUAUUUAAUUUUUUCAUCACUUUGUGUACAUCUUCUUGUUGAACUCUUGUGUUAUGAUGAAGUCUUUAGUGUUAGAAAAUGCUACAGUUUCGUACG